rnacentral:rRNA from 1 species
AUCGGCGUGGGANGGGGUCGCGUCCUAUCAGCUUGUUGGUGAGGUAACGGCUCACCAAGGCUUCGACGGGUAGCCGGCCUGAGAGGGCGACCGGCCACAUUGGGACUGAGAUACGGCCCAGACUCCUACGGGAGGCAGCAGUGGGGAAUAUUGCACAAUGGGCGCAAGCCUGAUGCAGCGACGCCGCGUGAGGGAUGGAGGCCUUCGGGUUGUAAACCUCUUUUGUUUGGGAGCAAGCCUUCGGGUGAGUGUACCUUUCGAAUAAGCGCCGGCUAACUACGUGCCAGCAGCCGCGGUAAUACGUAGGGCGCAAGCGUUAUCCGGAUUUAUUGGGCGUAAAGGGCUCGUAGGCGGCUCGUCGCGUCCGGUGUGAAAGUCCAUCGCUUAACGGUGGAUCUGCGCCGGGUACGGGCGGGCUGGAGUGCGGUAGGGGAGACUGGAAUUCC